ACGGGGUGCAGCAGGCGCGAAACCUCCGCAAUGUGAGAAAUCGCGACGGGGGGAUCCCAAGUGCCAUUCUUAACGGGAUGGCUUUUCAUUAGUGUAAAGAGCUUUUGGAAUAAGGGCUGGGCAAGACCGGUGCCAGCCGCCGCGGUAAU
rnacentral:rRNA from 1 species